GAUGAACGCUGGCGGCGUGCCUAAUACAUGCAAGUCGAGCGAACAGACGAGGAGCUUGCUCCUCUGACGUUAGCGGCGGACGGGUGAGUAACACGUGGAUAACCUACCUAUAAGACUGGGAUAACUUCGGGAAACCGGAGCUAAUACCGGAUAAUAUAUUGAACCGCAUGGUUCAAUAGUGAAAGACGGUUUUGCUGUCUCUUAUAGAUGGAUCCGCGCCGCAUUAGCUAGUUGGUAAGGUAACGGCUUACCAAGGCAACGAUGCGUAGCCGACCUGAGAGGGUGAUCGGCCACACUGGAACUGAGACACGGUCCAGACUCCUACGGGAGGCAGCAGUAGGGAAUCGUCCGCAAUGGGCGAAAGCUUGACGGAGCAACGCCGCGUGAGUGAUGAAGGUCUUCGGAUCGUGAAACUCUGUUAUUAGGGAAGAACAAAUGUGUAAGUAACUAUGCACGUCUUGACGGUACCUAAUCAGAAAGCCACGGCUAACUACGUG
rnacentral:rRNA from 1 species